rnacentral:rRNA from 1 species
UACGUAGGGGGCAAGCGUUAUCCGGAUUUACUGGGUGUAAAGGGAGCGUAGACGGAAUUGCAAGUCUGAUGUGAAAAUCCGGGGCCCAACCCCGGAACUGCAUUGGAAGCUGUAUUUCUAGAGUGUCGGAGAGGCAAGUGGAAUUCCUGGUGUAGCGGUGAAAUGCGUAGAUAUCAGGAGGAACACCAGUGGCGAAGGCGGCUUGCUGGACGAUGACUGACGUUGAGGCUCGAAAGCGUGGGGAGCAAACAGG